GAGCCUGCUGGCUGUGCUGUGAGGAGGAAGGGAUGGGAGGGCAUGUAGGGGACAGACAGGGUGAGGUGGCUAGGGGUGGGCAGGACUGAGCUGGAACUGCAGAAGGAAGAGAGAAGAAAGUGAGAAAGAGCCGGAGCUGCCCAAGGGAGGCUACGUAGAAAAGGUAUGUUUAUAAUUGCUGAAAUAUGCAGCAGAUGCCAGUUUAGACAAGCUUCCUGCCUGUGGAUAGAGCUCUAGGAUGUUACCUAGUUACCAGUGAAUCACAGCCUGGUAACCACUCAGAAUUCUGGGGCUUAUUUACGACAAGGUGUGAUUUGCCAGCCUUGGAAGCUGAACUCACUUGGACUGACUGCCCAGCACAGCUCUGGCUGUGUGAGCUCUACAGGCCGACCAUGUUCCCACCACACCACUGCUCCUGCUGCAACGGCGAGGAGAGUUACAGAACCCUCGAGCUCCCUUCAGGUACUGGAAGGCUGCAGUUGGGUCUCCCUGAAGGUUCCCUUCUCCAGGCUGAACAACCCCACUGCUCUCAGCCUUUCCUUGUGGCAGAGGUGCUCCAUCCUUCUGAUCAUCCUGGCGGCCCCCCUGGACUUGCUCCAACAGGUUGAUGUUGUUCCUGGCUGUACAGGCAGCUUGUUAGGAUCUGCAUUUCUGCUUUUUUCGACUGAACGACAGGCAUACCUAGAACUGUGAGCACUGAAGUAGCAAUGCCGAAAAGCACCUGCCCACAGGUGAGCCCACGGCCACUUGCAGACCUGGCAGUGACGUGAAGGCUGGGAGCUCUUCUACAGCAGCAAGAACAGGGAAGUUCUGGGGCAGCAGCUCCACAGCCAGACACACCAGGCUGAGAAAAGAGGAGAAAUUUUAAGGGAAAUCACAUCAAACAAGUGUUUCCCAUGUAUCUAUUCCCUGCAGGCAGACACACCUCACAGGUCACAGUGGCUAGUCUGUGUCCGUGCUCCUCUUGCUGUGGGACUGACUUUCGUUAGCAGAGGAACCAAGACUAAACUGAUAGCAUUCAUCUCUGUUCUUGCUCUGACAUGGUUAUUCGUUAGUUCUUCCUAAUGACUGUUCAGUUCCUUCCUUUGAGGGAGCCACUCCUAAUUCUCUUCUGUUCAGGUUGGAUAAUGAGUCACUGACUUUAAUACCAACCGCUAUUAACCCUUCCUUCACACAACCAGCAUCUGGGAACUGUGGAACACACUGUGUCUCGGUGCUGAGGAAGAAGAUUGAUGAAUCCUGCAGGCUUUCUGCUGCUGGCUGAUGAAAAAAACACCUUGUUUGCCUCAUGUCUUUGAUUAAUUGCUCUUUAAGUCUAGUUUAAUCUACCUGCUUUCCAGAGUAAUUUUGUUUUCCAUAAAUUUAACUUAUUUUCCAUUGUCUUCUUAUCUGGCCAAACUUUUUGUUUGUAUUAAAUAAGUUCUGGAAGCACCUUGUUUCCCGUUAUGCUUUUCCUCUCUCUUUUCUUCUCUUCGGGGAGGAAGGGUUGUGUUUGUGGCUGGGCAUGAGCUGGCAGUGCUCAGUUCUGCUGCGCCUCCCUGACUCCAAGAAUGCUGACAGCCAAACUCCUGGUGGCACCUGCUCUGGACUAGUUUCCUUCCUAAACAAAACAAACAAACAAAAAACCAGAAAAAAAAAUAAGGAAAUUUAUCAUCUUUUAUUUAUAGAUGAUUUGCCAUUCCUAAGACUUUUGAACCUACAGACUCUGCGAGACAAUGACAAGAAGUGAAUUCUUGACUCAGUUAUUGCUCACAAGGCUACUUAGAGAAUGACUUGUUUGUGAUCAAGCUUUGCACUGUUGGAGCACUGGACACAUGCAGGGCUGUCUGAAAGUCUGCUUUUUAGGCACUUCAUGUAUGGUAGUACUUGUUAUUUUGGCCAAAUUUUGGUGAUUUUUAGGAUAUUUGAUAUUCUUAAGUUCUCCUUGAUCCACUUCCCUUCUAUUAGUACUACUGACCUGCAACCAUGUUUUGUGUGUUCCUCAAAGUGUUCCAAAUUGUUUUAUUAUUUGAUGUUAUUAUAGCAUAUCCUUAUAAUCUAAGCAUUCUAAGGGAAAGGUAGUUCAGAAAGAGACCACACUAUUUACUUAGGAAACCACAUUCUCAGAUUACUGCAAAAACAGACUUCCAAGAAGGAGCAUGCCCUUGUCAUUGAUUACCUCCAUAGCUUUUCCAGUGUUCUUUAUUCCACCAUCCUGAAGCUGCACCAGUUGGGCUCAGGCACAC